rnacentral:rRNA from 1 species
CCUCACCUUUUCUUGUUCUCCCCGCCUAUAUACCGCCGUCCGUCAGCUUACCCUAUGAAGGCCCCUCAGUAAGCACAAUUGGCACAGCCCAAUACGUCAGGUCGAGGUGUAGCGUAUGAAAAGGGAAGAAAUGGGCUACAUUCACUGACACAGUGAAUUACGAAAAAUACCACUGAAACGUGUAUCUAGAAGGAGGAUUUAGCAGUAAGCAGAAAAUAGAGCGUUCUGCUGAAACUGGCCCUGAAGCGCGCACACACCGCCCGUCACUCUCCCCGAGCAUAUCUUAUUAAAUAACUCAAAACCCUUUAACAGCAAAGGGGAGGCAAGUCGUAACAUGGUAAGUGUACCGGAAGGUGUACUUGGAAAAAC